rnacentral:rRNA from 1 species
GAUGAACGCUGGCGGCGUGCCUAAUACAUGCAAGUCGAACGGAGUUGUUGUAGCAAUACGAUAACUUAGUGGCGAACGGGUGAGUAACGCGUUGGUGACCUACCCCGAAGAGAGGGAUAAUGGACCGAAAGGUCCACUAAUACCUCAUGUGGUCAUCGGUUUUAGAAUCUAGUGACUAAAGUCGCAAGACACUUUGGGAGAGGACCUGCGUCCCAUCAGCUAGUUGGUAGGGUAACGGCCUACCAAGGCUAUGACGGGUAGGGGACCUGAGAGGAUGAACCCCCACAAUGGCACUGAAACACGUGCCAUACACCUACGGGGGGCAGCAGUAGGGAAUAUUGCUUAAUGGGCGAAAGCGCGAAGCAGCAACGCCGCGUGUAUGAUGAAGGCCUUCGGGUCGUAAAAUACUUUUUAGAGGGAUGAGGAAGGACAGUACCUCUAGAAUAAGCCUCGGCUAACUACGUGCCAGCCGCCGCAGUAAUAC